ACGCUGGCGGCGUGCCUAACACAUGCAAGUCGAGCGGUAACAGGUGUAGCAAUACAUGCUGACGAGCGGCGAACGGGUGAGUAAUGCUUCGGAAUCUGCCCAAUGGUGGGGAAUAACCAGCCGAAAGGUUGGCUAAUACCGCAUAAGUCCUACGGGGGAAAGCAGGGGAUCGCAAGACCUUGCGCCGAUGGAUGAGCCGAAGUCGGAUUAGCUAGUUGGUAGGGUAACGGCCUACCAAGGCGACGAUCCGUAGCUGGUCUGAGAGGACGACCAGCCACACUGGGACUGAGACACGGCCCAGACUCCUACGGGAGGCAGCAGUGGGGAAUAUUGGACAAUGGGGGAAACCCUGAUCCAGCGACGCCGCGUGUGUGAAGAAGGCCUGCGGGUUGUAAAGCACUUUUAGUGGGGAUGAAAAGCUCAGGGCUAAUACCUCUGGGUCUUGACCUAACCCAAAGAAAAAGCACCGGCUAACUCUGUGCCAGCAGCCGCGGUAAUACAGAGGGUGCGAGCGUUAAUCGGAAUUACUGGGCGUAAAGCGUGCGUAGACGGUUAUGUAAGUCGGGUGUG
rnacentral:rRNA from 1 species